rnacentral:rRNA from 1 species
GAUCUGUCAAGUUGAAUAGUUUUUUGGGCCUGUUAGUAUUUGACUCUAAGAUAGCUUGGAAAUUCCUCGAGUUAUAGGCACAU